AUUAUCUUGUUGACACAGCUUUUGAGUUAAUUAUUUUUGAACGCGUUCCUGAACGUAUUUAACGUCGACGAGAACAAUUUUUUUUUAGUAAUUUGAGUCAAGUCACGACGAUUGCACCAAAAGUUAAAAAUGAAGUUCAUAAUUUUUGUAAUUUUUGCUUUAAGUUUUUUUGUUGCGUUAUCUCAAGGAAGACCGCAGCUGUCAGUAAUGGCUGAUAUUGACGAAAAUGGCCGAAUCAUUGGAGAAGGAGGCUGUAUUCCUACUUUUCCCUUUCCAAAAUUUCCAAGAUAUUAGUGAAACAAAUCAAAGAGGAAAAUAAAAAAUAUUCAAUAUAA